rnacentral:misc_RNA from 1 species
AGAAGUUGUUUCAAUAUACAGGACAGGAUACAGAAUUGAUAACUGAAGGGAAAUCAGUGGAACGAAGACGUGGACAGAUUCAACCGAGGUCGUUUGGACACGGUCGUGAUAGUUCAUGGCUUGCUGAGCCCUCAGACCACUUCGUCCGUUCAAACACAACGAUAGACGCAUUUGAGCGAGGUUCGUCGCUUGGAGGACUGAGCUACACAGAUGGAUUCUGACUACCAAGGGCGAGCACCUGAAUGUGGACUUGGCUGCAUCAAGCCACCAGCCAGGAGAAAGUUGACCAACAUGGCGACUUUUUCUGGAAUUUAUGCCAUCAGCGCCUUGCUGACAUCCACCUUGUCCGCGUACGUUAACGGCCAGGUCACGACUAUAGAGCGCCAUUUCGGCUUCAGCAGUGAACAGACUGGCUUAAUCAUGGCGGCCAAUGACAUCGGAUUCUUGGUCAUCGUUCUUUUCGUCAGCUACAUCGCUACAAGAGUGCACAUCCCUCGAUUCAUGGGAUACGCAACUCUCUUGUUCGGAAUAUUCCGGGAUUCUCUGCGCCCUGCCCCAGUUUCUCUUCGGAGCCCCGAGUCCAUCAGACGACAUCGUGAUGGGGAACGUCAGCAAAGCGGCGUCAGCUGGCGCCUCCCAAACAUUCCAGGGGCAAAUGUGUGACACAUUCAACACCACCAAACUGUCUGCUUGUCUUCAGCCCUCGACGUCCACAAAUACAACAGGCGACACCUCCAGUGUCAGCAACCGUGCCCGGGCCAAUGCCGUGUCUGCCCUGGUGAUCAUCGUACUGGGUAUGGUGCUGCAGGGCGUGGCCAAGGCCCCUCGCCACCCACUCAUCACCACCUUUGUCGACAACAACAUCGACAAAACUAAGACUGGCUUCUACAUGGGUAUUAUCAUCACAUUUGGUAUCAUGGGACCAGCCGCAGCCUUUGCACUGGGCGGUGCCUUUACCAGGAUGUACGUUACUCUAGAAGAAACAAACAUUGGCCCGAGGCACCCGAAAAUGGAUAGGAGCGUGGUGGCUCGGGUACAUCACGUUUGGAGGAGCAGCCUGUCUCUUUUCUCUCCCGCUAUUCUGCUUCCCUCGCUCGUUCAAGAGAUAUAACCCUCAGAGAUGAAAAAGAAGGAGAAGACAUUCGAACUCUAUGGGUCUGCAGUUGAAAUAUACCAAAGGUUUCCUGGCGGCGAUGUGUCGUCUGCUGAAGAACCCAGUGUACAUGACUCAACUGGUCUCCGCCUGCUUCACCAUCUUUGCUGUUGCCGGCGCCCAGGGCUUCACACCCAAGUACAUCGAAACCAGUUCUCCUUUCCUGCCUGGAAAGCCAAUAUGGCUAUGGCCGUCGUGAUGCUGACCACAGCCUGUCUGGGGACAUUCAUGGGCGGCGUCCUGUCCAGGCGCUUCAAGAUGGGGCCGCUAGCAAGUCUCAAGUUCUCAGCUCUCAUGCAGCUUCUGUCCAGCGCCGGCAACGUCCUGCAGAUGGCAUUCACCUGCCAACAGCCACCUCUGUACAACAGU